AUGACUGGGAGUCCGCCAGGCAGAGGACAACAACGUUCAGACCGGCAGAGGGAGCAGCGUGCUCAACAAUGAAGAGGAAGGAAGCUGCAUUCUGGGCUGUAGUUCAGCGGGUGGAAGUGUAGGGCAUGAAGAUCUCCGGGAGGGCAGGUGGUCAGUCAGGAACUACUGGUGGUGUUUCCUGAGUGUAGCAGACAAAGUGAGCGCAAGCAAGAGCGACACAGCGUCUGAUGACUUCUGCAAGCCACCGCAGCCCCAGGGGAUGGGGAUGAGCUCUGCACUGGACGGAUGUGGUGGCAGCACCUGCUCAGGCACGUUGCAGCUGGGGUUUGAAAGCAUGAACCUCGUUCUCCUUUGCGAUCGUUAAAUCUUUUCAGGUCCUUCCUGCAGACCCGCCUUAAGCAACAGUUCACAAGGAAUGCAGACAGGGGCUGCGAUGAAAUGUGAUGAACAGCAAUAAAAAGUACUCAGA